ensembl:lncRNA
GAGCUCGCUCCUGAGGGGGCGCCGGCGGCUCUAAACCUGCUGUGUUUCAUAUCGCUGGUGUGAUGUGAUGUUUUACCCAUGAUGCUGCUGGGUUUGUGGUUUUCAGGGCUGCAGUCAGACGUUCAGUGAUUGGCUGCAGGAGAACUCCCUGACCAUCAUCGCCAUGGACGUCGCCCUGCAGUUACUGCAGGUGGCGCUGUUCGUCAUGGCGGUGUAUCUGUACCGUGCAUUUGGAGAAGGCCGCGCUCUGAAACGGACCGAUCUGCUGGCUGGCAGAGACCACGCCCCCACCGAUGACCUGGGGGAGCUGAACUACGCCUACAAUGACCAGGUUGGAGCUUACAUAGACCCCCAUCACCUGCCUUAUCACCACGAUGACCACGGCCAGGUGUAUGUGGACCAAGUGCAGAGCUACUAACCUGCUACAAACAUUAUAGGCUCAGGUUCUGGUUCUGGAAACAUGAGCCUCCAACCAGCCUGCGGUCUUAUACCCUCUGUUAUCCAACAGACACAGCUUCUCAGAAUACACACACACAUCUUAGAGCAGGCACAAGCAUAAUCAUAUUUCACAGUAACACAUCAUGGAUGAGAUCAUCGGAGUGACAUCACAUAUAUGUCCAUAGUAAGACAUCUAUAAACACACCAACACCUGUGUGGAAAACAACGAACGAUGGCAAAAACACAGCUAACACUACACAACCAAUACUAAAACAACACAACUGGGGAGAUGACGUACACAGGCAGGCUAAGUCUAUACGUGUGAAGCUUGAAAUUUGUAGGAGGAGAUAAAUUUGGCAGAUGACCCUGGUUGAAGGGCUCUCUCAUAGACUCCCAUGUUAAAAAUGACACAGAAACUGCUUAAUAUUUGAAAAACUAUAGUCUUUUGAAAAAAAUAACAUUAAUUUAGCUUAAUGAGGCAGGCAGAGCUGUUGCCAUAUUUGGCAACCAUAUGGCAUUUGGCUGCAUUUGGCAGCCAUAUUUGUAGUCUUUAUCAGACUUUAAGCAUUAUAUCUGUCAUAUUGAUCAUCCUUCAGC